rnacentral:RNase_P_RNA from 1 species
GCGGUGAACCGGGCCGCCGCCCGGGGACCCCGCCGUGACGGCGGGUUUCCGGGAGGAAAGUCCGGGCUCCGCAGGGCAUGAUGCCGGGUAACGCCCGGGCGGGGGCCGCCCAAGCGGCUUCCGACAGACAGCGCAGCAGAAAAUAUACCACCCGGCCCUGCCGGGAAAGGGUGAAAAGGCGGGGUAAGAGCCCACCGCGGCGGCGGCAACGCCGCCGGCCUGCAAGCCUCAUCAGGAGCAAAGUCAAGCAGUAACAGGGCGGCCCGCCUUAUGUUACGGGUAGACUGCUCGGGCAAGCCCCGGGACGCCGUCCGCAAGGCCGGCGCGAGACAGAUGGCGGCACGGCGGCGGUCAAAACGCGGCCGGCACAGAACCCGGCUUACGGUUCAUCGUUUUU